rnacentral:lncRNA from 1 species
UUUGGAGACUGGAGGACAUUCGCGUGGGCCUGGCUGACACCGCGUGCUCAUCCACGUCAUGGGGCCCCGUGGGUUCUUCCCAGGGGAGCCCGCACACCUGUGCUGAUGGCAGCAGUCAUGGAGCUGCAUCUGGGUGAGGAGCCCGGGAGUGGCCACGUGUGUGUGAGCUCCCGUCGGCGUGAAUGGGGACACUGGUGGGUGCCCCUGUCUACCUGUCCUGUCCCUGCUCAGUGUUGGCCUCCUUGUGGAGUGGGGCCCCAUCGGUGGCUUUUCAGAUGAAUCAAGGACGCUCCAGGCAGAGCCGCUGUCACUCCAGGCAGAGCCCCCGUCUUCGAGGAGCUGCCCCUCCUCAGAUGACAGAUGCUUCUCAGCAGAUCGUCUUCUUUACGCAUCUCCUUCAGGAAUUCUAGUGGGGGCUCUGAGUUGGCCCCUCCUUUCUCUGUAUGUUUGAAAACAGUGCUGGAGGUUCUCCGUCAGCGUCCCCGGGAGCCUCACCUACCCCUCAUAUUCGCUAUUUUCCAUCUGGCCCUGUUCGGAAAUGUGUGGCUGCCUCUGGGAUCCUGGGAGAUGGUGUCCUCCUGAGAGGGUGACCUGGAGUCACCUUGCAGGGCCUGUGCCUCCCCAGGCGCCCCUUGGGGACGUCCCUGCUCCUCUCA